ACGGGAGGCAGCGGUGGGGAAUAUUGCACAAUGGGGGAAACCCUGAUGUAGCGAUGCCGCGUGGAGGAAGAAGGUUUUCGGAUUGUAAACUCCUGUCUUAAAGGACGAUAAUGACGGUACUUUAGGAGGAAGCUCCGGCUAACUACGUGCCAGCAGCCGCGGUAAUACGUAGGGAGCGAGCGUUGUCCGGAAUUACUGGGUGUAAAGGGAGCGUAGGCGGGAUUGCAAGUCAGAUGUGAAAACUAUGGGCUUAACCCAUAGACUGCAUUUGAAACUGUAGUUCUUGAGUGAAGUAGAGGUAAGCGGAAUUCCUGGUGUAGCGGUGAAAUGCGUAGAUAUCAGGAGGAACACCGGUGGCGAAGGCGGCUUACUGGGCUUUUACUGACGCUGAGGCUCGAAAGCGUGGGGAGCAAACAGGAUUAGAUACCCUGGUA
rnacentral:rRNA from 1 species